ensembl:ncRNA R09D1.16 ncRNA
AUUCCUCCAUACAACGGUGCAGAUGGUCCUGUAGGAGUUCCCCAUUGGUUUGGCCAUGGUCCAUAGUAAUCCAUAGAGAAUACAUUAACAAA